GUGGGGAAUUUUGGACAAUGGGCGAAAGCCUGAUCCAGCCAUGCCGCGUGCAGGAUGAAGGCCUUCGGGUUGUAAACUGCUUUUGUACGGAACGAAAAGACUCUGGUUAAUACCUGGGGUCCAUGACGGUACCGUAAGAAUAAGCACCGGCUAACUACGUGCCAGCAGCCGCGGUAAUACGUAGGGUGCAAGCGUUAAUCGGAAUUACUGGGCGUAAAGCGUGCGCAGGCGGUUAUAUAAGACAGAUGUGAAAUCCCCGGGCUCAACCUGGGAACUGCAUUUAUGACUGUAUAGCUAGAGUACGGCAGAGGGGGAUGGAAUUCCGCGUGUAGCAGUGAAAUGCGUAGAUAUGCGGAGGAACACCGAUGGCGAAGGCAAUCCCCUGGGCCUGUACUGACGCUCAUGCACGAAAGCGUGGGGAGCAAACAGGAUUAGAAACCCGUGUAGUCC
rnacentral:rRNA from 1 species